rnacentral:rRNA from 1 species
GAGUUUGAUCGUGGCUCAGAUUGAACGCUGGCGGCAGGCCUAACACAUGCAAGUCGAGCGGAUGAAGGGAGCUUGCUCCUGGAUUCAGCGGCGGACGGGUGAGUAAUGCCUAGGAAUCUGCCUGGUAGUGGGGGAUAACGUCCGGAAACGGGCGCUAAUACCGCAUACGUCCUGAGGGAGAAAGUGGGGGAUCUUCGGACCUCACGCUAUCAGAUGAGCCUAGGUCGGAUUAGCUAGUUGGUGGGGUAAAGGCCUACCAAGGCGACGAUCCGUAACUGGUCUGAGAGGAUGAUCAGUCACACUGGAACUGAGACACGGUCCAGACUCCUACGGGAGGCAGCAGUGGGGAAUAUUGGACAAUGGGCGAAAGCCUGAUCCAGCCAUGCCGCGUGUGUGAAGAAGGUCUUCGGAUUGUAAAGCACUUUAAGUUGGGUAGGAGGGCAGUAAGUUAAUACCUUG